UGCCCAAGAGAUCGGGGUAACACCUGGAAACAGAUGCUAAUACCGGAUAACAACAGAUGAUGCCUAUCAACUGUUUAAAAGAUGGCUCUGCUAUCACUCUUGGAUGGACCUGCGGUGCAUUAGCUAGUUGGUAGGGUAACGGCCUACCAAGGCGAUGAUGCAUAGCCGAGUUGAGAGACUGAUCGGCCACAUUGGGACUGAGACACGGCCCAAACUCCUACGGGAGGCAGCAGGC
rnacentral:rRNA from 1 species